AUGGGGAUGAGGAGCUGGAUUGGUUAUGGACCCAAAGUGGGCACCGCCAUGCCAGAAGAAGGGUGGCUCCGGGCGGCCGUGACCCUGCUGGAGUGCGGGGGGGACCUCCAGCCCCCCGGGGGGUCCCUGCGCCUCCUCUGCCGAGGGUCCGGGUUCAGUUUCGGGAAUGUGAACAUGUACUGGGUCCGCCAGAGACCCGGGCAGGGGCUGGAGUUUGUGGCAGAGAUCAGCUACGAUCUUUCCAGCACCUACUACGCGCCAUCGGUCAAGGGCCGGUUCAGGAUCUCCAGGGACAACGGGCAGAGCUCGGUGACGCUGACCAUGAACAACCUCAAGGACGAGGAUUCCGGAUCCUAUUUCUGUGCCAAAUGCGCCGGUGGUUUUGCUGACUGGGCUGGUGCUGCUGGUGGUUAUGGUGACCAUCCCGGGUUUGGCCCCUCUCCCUUCUCUCCUGGUCCUCAAGUGUCCCCACAGCCUGGACCCUACCCCAAAUCUCAUACUUAG